CCUACGGGGGGCAGCAGUGAGGAAUAUUGGUCAAUGGACGAGAGUCUGAACCAGCCAAGUAGCGUGAAGGAUGACUGCCCUAUGGGUUGUAAACUUCUUUUAUAUGGGAAUAAAAUGUUCCACGUGUGGGAUUUUGUAUGUACCAUAUGAAUAAGGAUCGGCUAACUCCGUGCCAGCAGCCGCGGUAAUACGGAGGAUCCGAGCGUUAUCCGGAUUUAUUGGGUUUAAAGGGAGCGUAGGUGGAUUGUUAAGUCAGUUGUGAAAGUUUGCGGCUCAACCGUAAAAUUGCAGUUGAAACUGGCAGUCUUGAGUACAGUAGAGGUGGGCGGAAUUCGUGGUGUAGCGGUGAAAUGCUUAGAUAUCACGAAGAACUCCGAUUGCGAAGGCAGUUCACUGGACUGCAACUGACACUGAGGCUCGAAAGUGUGGGUAUCAAACAGGAUUAGAUACCCAAGUAGUC
rnacentral:rRNA from 1 species